rnacentral:rRNA from 1 species
CCUACGGGAGGCAGCAGUAGGGAAUCUUCCACAAUGGGCGAAAGCCUGAUGGAGCAACGCCGCGUGGAUGAAGAAGGUCUUCGGAUCGUAAAGCGCUGUUGUUAGAGAAGAAAAUGCGUGAGAGUAACUGUUCACGUAUCGACGGUAUCUAGCCAGAAAGCCACGGCUAACUACGUGCCAGCAGCCGCGGUAAUACGUAGGUGGCAAGCGUUAUCCGGAAUUAUUUGGCGUAAAGGGUACGCAGGCGGUUUUUUAAGUCUGAUGGGAAAGCCUUGGGCUUAACCUGUGGAGUGCAUUGGAAACUGGGAGACUUGAGUGAAGUAGAGGAGAGCGGAAUUCCAUGGGUAGCGGUGAAAUGCGUAGAUAUAUGGAAGAACACCAGUGGCGAAGGCGGCUUACUGGGUUGAAACUGACGCUGAGGUGCGAAAGCGUGGGGAGCAAACAGGAUUAGAUACCCGAGUAGUC